ACUGUCAAGCUGUCAACUUUCUCCAAGUGUCAAACAGGUUGGACGAGAGAAAUCAAUCGAUUGUUGUUGGUUGGCGCUAAGUUCCGCGAGUUUAUGAUAACAGGGAUACACUGGCCAAACUAUAAGUGGCGGCUUGUUUGUUAUUACUGUGUGAGUGUUGUGGUCGGUGCCGACGAGCCGGGGCGCCGCAGCGCGCGCUGCUGCCGAGUCUGCGCUAAUCUUGUUAUGUUAUUGUAAAGAAAUGGAUAAUAACUUCACAGACUUCACUAAGAACGAUACAUUUGACACAUGGACCGGGAGCGAUGAGUCGGAGGCGGUGACGUCACGCGCGGCGUCGCACAAGCGCGCGCACUACGACAACUACUACGGCGAGCCGGCGGCGAAGCGUCCGGCGCCGAGCAUCGUGGUGGGCGGCGGCUUCAAGUGGAACCUGCAGGCGCUGGCGGCGGCGGCCGACAGCGUGGCCAGCGGCGGCAAGUCGCCCGUGUCCGCGCUCAACGAGCUCGGCGUGCGCGUGGCCUACUCCGUGCUGCGCCAGGCGGGCCCGGCGCACUGCCCGUCCUUCACCGUGCGCGUGCGCGUGGCCGACCUCGCCUUCUGCGGCGCCGGGCCCAGCAAGCGCGAGGCGCGCGCCGCCGCCGCCCGCGCCUGCCUCGCCGCGCUGCUCGCCCGCGCCGGCCGCGCCCUGCCGCCCCCGCCGCAACACGACUUCACCAGCGACGAGCCCGCGCCAGCACCAGCGUCGCAGCUGGAGUGCGUGGAGGCGGUGCAGGCGCCGGCGUCGCCCGCCGCCCCGACACCCCCCGAGCCGGGCGCGGAGGCGGCGCCGCCCGCCGGCUCGCUGUUCGGCGCGGCGGCGGCGGCGGCGCACAAGUCGCCCAUCAACGUGCUGUACGAGAACUACUCGGGGCUCGCCUUCACCUGCACCUUCGGCGACGGCUCCCCGCUCACCGCCGCGCAGGCGCCGCUGCAGCUCAGCCACAGCAUGAGGUUCAAGGUCGUCUGCCAGAUCAAGGACCAGAAGUUCGAGGGAUACGGGUCGAGCAAGAAGCUGGCGAAGCUGGCGGCGGCGCGGUGCGCGCUGGCGGCGCUGGAGGAGCGCGCGCCGCCGGCCGCCGCCCCCAGCGCGCCGCAGCUGCGCCAGCACCUCGCCGACCACAUCGCCAAGCUGGUGAACGAGAAGUUCAACGAGCUGAUGAAGAACGACGUGGUGCACUCCAAGCGCAAGGUGCUCGCCGGCAUCGUCAUCACCACGCACUCGCGCAUCGAGGACGCCCGGGUGAUCGCGGUGACGACGGGCACCAAGUGCGUGUCGGGCGAGCACAUGUCCGUCACCGGCCGCGCGCUCAACGACUGCCACGCAGAGGUUGCAGCGCGGCGCUGUCUACAGAAACACUUAUACGCGCAGCUACUACAGUAUGCUGAGCAAGCUGACCCGACAGUGCCACUAGAGAACAACGACCUGGAGCCGGUCCCGGGCGGCGGCUACCGGCUGAAGGCGUCGCGCGCCGUGCACCUGUACGUGAGCACGGCGCCCUGCGGCGACGGACGCAUCUUCAGCCCGCACGAGCACCACCACGCCGAGCCCGACAAGCAUCCCAACCGCCUGGCGCGGGGGCAGCUCCGGACCAAGAUCGAGUCCGGCGAGGGCACCAUCCCCGUCAAGAACUGCACCAACACCGUGCAGACCUGGGACGGCGUCAUGCAGGGCGAGCGGCUGCUGACGAUGUCGUGCUCGGACAAGGUGGCGCGCUGGUGCGUGUGCGGGCUGCAGGGCGCGCUGCUGUCGCGGCUCGUGCUGCCCGUCUACCUGCACUCGCUCGUGCUCGGCUCGCUGCUGCACCCGCACCACAUGUACAGGGCUAUCUGCGGUCGCAUCGAGGCGUACAUCUCGUGCCUGCCGCCGCCGUUCCACCUGGCGCGGCCGCUGCUGUCGCGCGCCGCGAGCGCGGAGGCCCGCACCCCCGCCCGCGCCCCCUCCUUCAGCGUCGCCUGGUGCGCCACGCAGCCGCUGCCCGAGCUCAUCAACGCCACCACCGGCAAGCUCGAGAGCGGCCAGCCCUCGCUGCUCUGCAAGCAGAGCAUGUUCGCGCGCUGGCACUACCUCGUCAAGCGACUGCCGCUGCUGCCGCAGGAGACGGACGGUGAGACGUUGCCGCCCGCCAUGCCGGACAACCCCGACACGCUGCUGUACAACGAGGCCAAGCAGAUGUGUCCCACAUACCAGUUGGCGAAGCAGCGUCUGAUCGAGGCGUUCGAGAAGGCGAAGCUGGGUCGCUGGAUCAAGCGGCCGCUGGAGCAGGACCAGUUCGUGUGCGAGGUGGCCGGCGCCGCGCCCGCGCUCCUGUUCGCUUAGGCGGGCCGCCACCCCCUCGCGUGUGACGUCACGCGACCCCCCCUGACGAGCACCUCACGCACACACCCCCCGCAAUGUGAGUCCUCUGUAUGUACGGGUACUGAUGGCGAUAGAGUUAGCGAGCUGCGGCUGCCGCUGAACAAGAUGCGGCCCACUGCGGGGCCGCGCGAGUCUCAACACAGCGGCUAUGUUGAUAAUGACGGUUACCAUGGCAACGUGGGCACUAGAGCCCUCGCGUACUACAAGUACCGCAGCACUAGAGAUAGCGUUAGUCUUACCGAUAGGAACACUCUCCGCAGUAGUGUCAGCACUCGCUUAGUGCAAGCUUCAGAUAGUAGCGUAAGUCAUAGAACUGUUGUCGAUUAUAAUAAUAUUACUGCUAGUGUAAGAGAUGAGUUUAAUGAUAGUAUGUGUGAUCGUGACGGAACGCUCGGUGAUGAAUGGGAUGAUGAUGAUGUAGGUCACGUGACACAGAGUAAUGAAGACUCAGACGUGACAGUCCUCAUGCACAAAGUAAAGCAAGUCACGUUAGGAGACGAUAAGAAGAGGUUCUGGAGCGAGUUCUAUAAGAGCAGACAAGCGAAGCGAGCCGAUACCAAAGACUGUGACGUCACAGCACGCAGUAGCUGUAAGUUUAAUGAAGAAGCACAAUUAGCUGGUAGUCAUAGUUGUAGUCGCAGCGUGGUCGAAGCCAAAGAGACGCCAGUCGAGCGCGAUCCUCUAGGAGAUAACGUACAUAGUGAAGACAUAGUCAAUUGUAGUGAAGUCGUAAACGACAAUUUAGGAGCGUUAAGGCAGCCUAGAAACGUAAGCACUGACGGUGAUCCCGUGAGAGAUAAUGAUAAAGAGAAUAUAGUUAACUUUAACAGAAAUAUUCUAUCAAGGAAACUGGCCGCUUACCACGCGAGUCGGUUUAGAGAUUCACCAGUUAUGCCUAACCGUGAUCUUUGGAGUUUAGAACGUAACGAUGCAGCCACUGAAUCUGAAUCUAAAGAUUAUUUCUUUAACAAUUAUAAUGAGGUCGCUGAACGCAAGCCGAGCGUCAAGAAUUCUCUUCUGUUACGGCGACUACACAUUUACGAACAGAUCAACAGUAAGAUGAAAUGACGUGCGUGAGGGGACAGGCUCGGCCGAUGUGUAAACCUCUUUGUGUCACGAGGGUGAUGAUGCAGGAGUGGGGGAAGUAACCCCUCCCCCCACCACUCCGUCCCUCUCUAAGUGAUGUCAGACAUGUCAAGUUGCGGGGAAUCUAAAUUUUCGUUUUGUAUUCGUGACACGGUCACGUAUUUGUAAUUUGCAAUUCAAAAAUUAAUUUUGGUUUUUCUCAUUAAAUUGUCUCUUUUAUUUAGUUGAUUACUGUUUGAAGGUUAUUUUGGUUCUGAUUUUGAAUUUAGUUUUUUUUUUUUGUUUUCAUUUUUAUUUAAUUUCUUUAUUUGAUUCUCGUUCAUAUUGUUCUACAGUUGUCUCUCACGGAUUACUGGUCGUUAUUUCUUGACUUAGUUAUAGCUAGAUAUAUUACGUACGCCAUCAGACCCUGUGUGUGUGUGUGUGUGUAUGAGCGCGCGUGUGUGUGUGCGUGACGUUCUCGCCGCGCCUCAGUUGAAACAAUGAUGUCUACCAAAGCGAUGUUAAAGUAUUAAUGUUCAUAGUUUUCAUGUGUCCCUCCGCAGACGCUCGCCUGCACAACUUAUCAUAUUCUAGAUUUUUCCAAAAUUAUACUUAUGGGUAAAGGCUGAAGAUUUUAUUAUGACGACACAAAAUGUAAUAGUUGUCAAAUACAUAUUGCAACCACACUCUAUACAGUAUUCGAAGAUGCAUUGAGCACCAUGCAUGCAUGUCUACCAUGCAUGUAUGAGUAUCAUGCAUAUAUGAGCACCAUGCAUACAUGAGCACCAUACAUGCGUGAGCACCAUGCAUGCAUGUCUACCAUGCGUGCAUGCAUGCGAGCGCUGGGGAAGCUUUGGUAGAGUAUCAUGCGCGUCGCGGCGCUACACGCGGCCGGUGUAGACCAACCUUGGAAGCAGAGUACCUGCGCUACGACGCUACGGCGCUACGACGCUACGCCGUAGCACUGCUACGCACAUUGUCAACUAGUGCCAUACUAAUUGAUACUAUUUCAUACUAAAAUCUGAUUAAUUAUAAAUAUUGCAAUUGUAUUUGUGUUGAGUCAAAAUUGUUUGCUUGUAUUAAACUAUUACAAUGUUUUCGGGUCAAUUACAACAGUCAAAAAUCAUAAUUAAGUUUGUUGACCUCUACACAUUGGUCUUAAUGCAUGACAUAAUAAUUGUAAUAAAUAUGUGUUCUAACAAUAUUUGUGUUGAUACCAACAGCUAGCAUGUUACAAACUUACCGUAUUACUGUAUUAUGGUGUCUACACACCAAAGCCGCUGAGGCCGGCGGCACAGCCCGGCGGCCCAAGCCGCCGGCCGUAUUUUUUACAAUCAUGCCGCAUGAUUGUACAAAAUACGGCCGGCGGGUUGGGCCGCCGGGCUGUGCCGCCGGCAUCAGCGGAUUUGGUGUGUAGACACCUUUAGAGUUACCCUGUUCAGUAUUGUCAAAUAGUUUGCUUAGAUAAGGUUCUAUCUCUCUCUAACUAAUUACAAUAACUUUACAAAUGAGUCAUUUAGUUUAGUACAACUGUCACUGUCAUAUAGUCGAUGACAGAAUCACGUCAAGGGUGAGUUGCACCAUUUAACUAUAAUGAUAACUGAAGCGUAACUAGGCGUUAAAUAGUUCAAUGGGUGACUAUUUAAUAAUUUAAUAGCUGGUUAUUGUUUUGGUCAUCGUUAUGGUUAAAUAGGGCAACUCAAUUUAAAUAUUCAAGAUUUUUUUUAGAUUUGUUGGUAUGUAGACUCUAGGUAUAAAUUUUGAUCACUUUAAUUCCAAGUUUUCUCUCGACUUGAUCGCUUCACUUUUCUUAAAAUAAUUUUCUUGUUAGAUUCAUAGUUUAUUCUCUGGCUAUUGUACUUAAUUCAAUAUAUCUUGUAUUAACUUCGUGUAUUCUGUGGUCGACUGUACUCUUGCAAAUUAUGUUCAUAACUUCUUGUUAGCACAGCUGUACCGCGUACUCGACAAUUCAGUUCAAAACUAUUGACUGUCAUUCAAAAUUAUAAAUAUUCAACCUUUUCUCUGCAAUAAAGUGUACCUGAUAUUCAUUUUGCAUUUUAAGUCUGCUCAUGAUUUUGGUGGUUAUUUUGACGAUGGCUCAUUAUGUCGAGUACGCGUUCCUGUCUCUUUAUGUGUGCUCACUGCGUCUUUAAAUGCGAAUUAUUCAAUAUAGAACUUAAUACCCUUGGUGGACAAAAUAUAAGAAAGAAAGAAAGAAAAACCAUUUAUUAUCACAAACGACGCAAAAGCAACAAAACAAAUAAAACUAAUGACAAAACAAACUGAUAAAAAUUUAGAUACGCUGCAUUUGCGUCACUUUGCGAAAAAGGGACGGCGCUCAGCAUAACAGCGCUGGUUUUCAGCGCUGACCCGCGUAUCCUUGCCUCGGAAAUUUAAUAAAUUCCGAGACAACCCUGGACAUGCUUAACGCUGUUUCGGCAAGGUACAUGUACUAACACAAAAUUUUACUUUGAAAUUAAAAACAUGAAUACAAACUAAAAAUAAAACAUGACGAAAAAAUUUUACAAAAAAAGUAAAAAUAAAAGUAUUAUAACAAAAAAAGACAGACAGAAUUAAUUAAAAAAAAAAAAAAAAACAGAAACAACCAAACCAUAGACAGCGCGGCACUAUGUUGUGUUUAGUCUGUGGCGCGGCGCGGCAACGACAAGUGUCAAAUGUGUUGAAUUUAUUGUGAAUGCAGUGUUUAUGUUGUUGAUAAAUAUGUGUAUUAUGUUGUGAUGCUGCGUAUGGAUGUGCUAUUGUGUAAGAGAGACGACCCACUGACCGAAAUACGUUCAAGUGGGGUGUAAAACAAUGCGCUAAUACGCUAUGGCUAUUCGGUAACAUAGGCGGGAGACCAUACAGUACAGAUUACAAUACGUGCAUAGCUUUCCAUCGACAUUUAGGACACAAACCGAGCAUCCAAGGCACUGGAUCCCCGUCAAACACGGCAAAGCGGAUGAGAAAGAGAAAGCACCAUGUAAAUUACGAGCAAAAACAACAAAAGACACAGAGAAAGAAGAGAAGAGAAAGACAGCUUUAGCUCUGUGCUUCCUCUGCAAGAGAAAGAAGUUCAUUCCGGUGCCCAAGGAACCAUCCCUGCUCUCUCUGGCUACGACCCUCAAUGACAGCUGCUGUCAAUGCUGCCGGAUCCUGGCGUGUUACUUGAAGGAGGUGAUCAAUUGCCUCUUCUGCAUGAUCAACUGUCGCAUCCCCUGCAUGCAGUUUGAAGAGUUGUUCUGCGACCUGCUGGACGCGACAGGCUGUAUGUUCACAGAUUUCUUCAAGUUCGUCCGCGCCUUCUUGAAGGUUUGCGUCGGGACUAAGGAUUAGUUCAUGUUCUGUCUUUGUGCUCGUUUUGUGGAAGCUUUGCGAUAAAUAUGUUGGAAUCUUG
rnacentral:misc_RNA from 1 species